rnacentral:rRNA from 1 species
GUGUCAGCAGCCGCGGUAAUACGUAGGGGGCUAGCGUUGUCCGGAAUCAUUGGGCGUAAAGCGCGCGUAGGCGGCCCUGUUAGUCCGCUGUAAAAGUCAAAGGCUCAACCUUUGAAUGCCGGUGGAUACUGCAGGGCUAGAGUCCGGAAGAGGCGAGUGGAAUUCCUGGUGUAGCGGUGGAAUGCGCAGAUAUCAGGAGGAACACCAACGGCGAAGGCAGCUCGCUGGGACGGUACUGACGCUGAGGCGCGAAAGCGUGGGGAGCGAACAGGAUUAGAAACCCUCGUAGUCC